rnacentral:lncRNA from 1 species
CUAGGUUCUUGCUAGUUGUCUUGUUAAUGUGUAUUAGAUGGAUAAUUGAUGAAUCACAGCUACCUGAACCUUGGAGAUCUUCUUUCUCUGAAGAAAGCUGAGCACUGGUAUGGUCAUGAAACGCCCUGUACCAGAGAAGUCCUUCCUCUAAAAGUCCUUGGAAGACAAUGCUGUGUUCUGAAGACAGGGUCCAGAAAAGCAUAGGAGGAGAUUUAGAGUUUGUCCUCCGGUAGAGCCAUCAUCACCGCGAUAGCCAGCUCCAAACAACAGCACAACCCCACCUUGCCAAUGUCAGCAGACACUGAGGAGGUGCAAUUCUGUACACAUAAAGACAAGCGUGAGUGUCCUCCAAGAUAUGAGUGGGACUCCCAUGCAGAAAAAAUGAGGCCUGGUUACAACCAUGUUGUUUGGAGGAAUAAGUCAUCUUGGCAAAUAAAGCGCAGGAUUCUACUAUAGCCAAGUCCUCCUCUUCCAGUAAAAAUCCCUGUGGCUGAUGAUUCUGCAAGUAUAGGCAAGAUGAAUGUGCGUCAUUCUCGCUGGGAUUCUGCUCAUUCCUCGUUUCUCACAGCUCCUUAACUCUUAGGAUGGACAUUCAUUUACAUCAGAGCACUACUGCCAGCCAUAUUUAGUCAUGCUUGGGUAUGUAACCCUGGCUAGUAAUUAAUUGGGUUCCGAUCUUGUUAAUGAAUGCUUCUUCAGGACAUCUUAAUAUGUAUUCCUCUCUAAUACCACAUACUGUACCUACAACCUAGUAAAACAAAUGAUUAUCUUUAGUAGGCUGAUAUUCGUGGUAGGCUUGGAAAGAAGAUGGCUGAAUUCUUUGAAGCUAUGAUCCUGUAAAAUUAGGAUCCCUGUCAGCUCCUGGACUUCAUGGCAAAUUGUAUCCGAUAGAACUGUUCAGCAGCUUAUAACAUCAGUGUUUUCUGUGCAGAUCCCUACACAUUGCAUAAAGGAAAUAUUUUUCUCCUCACUUUUCAUGAAACCAAACUGAAGAAUAGCAGUGAUUUCAUUUGCAACAGAGCACAGGGACUGCAGUAGCACCUUUCUGGCUGUCUCAAGCCAGGAGGUCACACACUUCAGUCUUGUUCCCACUGUAUUUGGUGGAGUAAUUCACUGUGCUAGCUGGUCUGCUGGUGCUAUUGGUCUAUUUAGUACUCUACUGGAGUACUAAAACUUUCUUAAUUUUCUGCCCACCAUCUAGUAGGGGAACAAGCAUACUGGCAGCAGCCGCUUCCUUCAAGCUGCAAGCAGACUGCAGCCUUGUUGGGAGAGUUAAUACCUUUUUAGUCUUCUGUGGGAGUUUAUCUCAGUUUCCAACCUAUGAAUAUACAUAUUAGUUGGGAAAAUGAAAGAUUUUCCUAUUGAUAAGCCAUGAAAAUAAACUCUCCUUUGAUCUUUGCUGGAAAAGAUCA